rnacentral:rRNA from 1 species
GACGAACGCUGGCGGCGUGCUUAACACAUGCAAGUCGAACGGAAAGGCCUGCUUUCCCUUGUGGAUUGCGGGUACUCGAGUGGCGAACGGGUGAGUAACACGUGAGUGAUCUGCCCCCAACUUGGGUAUAAGCCUGGGAAACUGGGUCUAAUUCCCGAUAGGACUGCAGGGUGGUGCCUGUGGUGGAAAACGAUUUUCUAGUGGUUGGGGAUGAGCUCGCGGCCUAUCAGCUUGUUGGUGGGGUAAUGGCCUACCAAGGCGGCGACGGGUAGCCGGCCUGAGAGGGUGGACGGCCACAUUGGGACUGAGACACGGCCCAGACGCCUACGGGAGGCAGCAGUGGGGAAUAUUGCGCAAUGGGCGGAAGCCUGAUGCAGCGACGCCGCGUGGGGGAUGACGGCCUUCGGGUUGUAAACUCCUUUCGACCGCGAGGAAGCCACCUGGUUGGAAGGGUGGUGACGGUAGUGGUAGAAGAAGCACCGGCUAACUACGUG